rnacentral:rRNA from 1 species
UCCAGCUCCACUCCGAACCUGGAAAUUAAGCAGUCUCGGGCCACAUCAGUACUGGGCUGGGCGACUUCCCGGGAACGUGCGGUGCUUGCUUCUU